AUGUAUUCACCGACACACCUCCGUCUCAUCUUCUUCUUUAACUCCGAUUAUCUCCGCUUCCAAUUGAUCGCUCAGCCUUUUCUCUCGGCAUUAUCCUCUUCACUUCUCAGCCUUCGUCUCGCUCCAUACGUCACCGAAGAAAAGGGACCGAAUCGAUCAAACAGAGUAGAAGAGAAGUUGAUGACGUUGAAUAUGCAAUGA